rnacentral:rRNA from 1 species
UCUACGGGAGGCAGCAGUGGGGAAUAUUGGACAAUGGGCGAAAGCCUGAUCCAGCCAUGCCGCGUGUGUGAAGAAGGCCUUCGGGUUGUAAAGCACUUUCAGUGGGGAAGAAAGCCUUGGGGCUAAUACCCUCGAGGAAGGACAUCACCCACAGAAGAAGCACCGGCUAACUCCGUGCCAGCAGCCGCGGUAAUACGGAGGGUGCGAGCGUUAAUCGGAAUUACUGGGCGUAAAGCGCGCGUAGGCGGUCUGAUAAGCCGGUUGUGAAAGCCCCGGGCUCAACCUGGGAACGGCAUCCGGAACUGUCAGGCUAGAGUGCAGGGGAGGAAGGUAGAAUUCCCGGUGUAGCGGUGAAAUGCGUAGAGAUCGGGAGGAAUACCAGUGGCGAAGGCGGCCUUCUGGACUGACACUGACGCUGAGGUGCGAAAGCGUGGGUAGCAAACAGGAUUAGAUACCCGAGUAGUC